rnacentral:tRNA from 1 species
GGCGGCCAUGUGCCGGCUGGCAUGCACCGGCUGCAGGCCGGUGCGGUAGCCGGAGGCCAGUUCCGGUGGUGCGGGCAGCACCUGGUCGGCAC